GCGCGGGUGGCGGAAUGGUAGACGCGCUGGCUUCAGGUGCCAGUGUCCGCAAGGGCGUGGGGGUUCAAAUCCCCCCUCGCGCACAA
rnacentral:tRNA from 1 species